rnacentral:rRNA from 1 species
UACGAAGGGGGCUAGCGUUGCUCGGAAUCACUGGGCGUAAAGCGCACGUAGGCGGAUUGCUAAGUCAGGGGUGAAAUCCUGGAGCUCAACUCCAGAACUGCCUUUGAUACUGGCGACCUUGAGUCCGGGAGAGGUGAGUGGAACUGCGAGUGUAGAGGUGAAAUUCGUAGAUAUUCGCAAGAACACCAGUGGCGAAGGCGGCUCACUGGCCCGGUACUGACGCUGAGACGCGAAAGCGUGGGAGCAACAGG